rnacentral:rRNA from 1 species
CCUACGGGAGGCAGCAGUGGGGAAUAUUGCACAAUGGGGGAAACCCUGAUGCAGCGACGCCGCGUGAGUGAAGAAGUAUUUCGGUACGUAAAGCUCUAUCAGCAGGGAAGAAAAACCGGCCUUAGGACCGCCAGACGGUACCUGACUAAGAAGCCCCGGCUAACUACGUGCCAGCAGCCGCGGUAAUCCGGAGGGGUCAAGCGUUAGCCGGAUUUACUGAGUGUAAAGGGAGCCUAGACGGCAGCGCAAGUCUGGAGUGAAAUGCCGGGGACCAACCCCGGAACUGCUUUGGAAACUGUGCAGCGGGAGUGAAGGAGAGGUAAGCGGAAUUCCUAGUGUAGCGGGGAAAUGCGUAGAUAUUAGGAGGAACACCAGUGGCGAAGGCGGCUUACUGGACUGUAACUGACGUUGAGGCUCGAAAGCGUGGGGAGCAAACAGGAUUAGAUACCCGUGUAGUC